UACGUAGGGUGCGAGCGUUGUCCGGAAUUAUUGGGCGUAAAGAGCUCGUAGGCGGCUUGUCGCGUCGGCUGUGAAAUCCCGAGGCUCAACCUCGGGUCUGCAGUCGAUACGAGCAAACUAGAGUGUUGCAGGGGAGACUGGAAUUCCUGGUGUAGCGGUGAAAUGCGCAGAUAUCAGGAGGAACACCGGUGGCGAAGGCGGGUCUCUGGGCAACAACUGACGCUGAGGAGCGAAAGCGUGGGGGAGCGAACAGG
rnacentral:rRNA from 1 species